UACGGAGGGGGCUAGCGUUGUUCGGAAUUACUGGGCGUAAAGCGCACGUAGGCGGACUGUUAAGUCGGGGGUGAAAUCCUGGGGCUCAACCUCAGAAUUGCCUCCGAUACUGGCAGUCUCGAGUGCGGGAGAGGUGAGUGGAAUUCCCAGUGUAGAGGUGAAAUUCGUAGAUAUUGGGAAGAACACCAGUGGCGAAGGCGGCUCACUGGCCCGUAACUGACGCUGAGGUGCGAAAGCCAGGGGAGCGAACGGG
rnacentral:rRNA from 1 species